rnacentral:tRNA from 1 species
GCACCCGUAGCUCAACUGGAUAGAGUACUGCCCUCCGAAGGCAGGGGUUUCGAGUUCAAAUCUCGACGGGUGCACCA